AUGUGCUCUCUGGUAUGGGUCCCAAAACCCUCUCCAUCAUUGCUAGGUGUUCCAGGUUCUCAUGUGUCUGAAACAAUGUCUCCCCCUAUAAACUUUAGGGUUAGGACCAUAUAUCAAGGUAAAAGAGGAAAGACAGGCAUCACAAGCAAUCUAACCGAGCAUAGCUCAACGAGGAUGCAACCAACACUCCAAAUAUCACAUGGCAAACUCCAGCCUAAGCCUGCCAAAGGAAUAUUCCGUAACAUCAGAACUCAGGAUUCCACUCUUCGAGUAGAAACAUUAGCCACUGCUACAGCAGUUGGUCUAACACCAAGGAGAAAGGAGAAAAGAUGA
rnacentral:rRNA from 1 species